UACGUAGGGUGCAAGCGUUGUCCGGAAUUAUUGGGCGUAAAGAGCUCGUAGGCGGUCUGUCGCGUCGGCUGUGAAAACCCGGAGCUCAACUCCGGGCCUGCAGUCGAUACGGGCAGACUGGAGUUCGGCAGGGGAGACUGGAAUUCCUGGUGUAGCGGUGGAAUGCGCAGAUAUCAGGAGGAACACCGGUGGCGAAGGCGGCUCACUGGCCCGGUACUGACGCUGAGGUGCGAAAGCGUGGGGAGCAAACAGG
rnacentral:rRNA from 1 species